AUUGAACGCUGGCGGCAUGCCUUACACAUGCAAGUCGAACGGUAACGCGGGGCAACCUGGCGACGAGUGGCGAACGGGUGAGUAAUAUAUCGGAACGUGCCCAGUAGUGGGGGAUAGCCCGGCGAAAGCCGGAUUAAUACCGCAUACGACCUACGGGUGAAAGCGGGGGAUCGCAAGACCUCGCGCUAUUGGAGCGGCCGAUAUCAGAUUAGGUAGUUGGUGGGGUAAAAGCCUACCAAGCCGACGAUCUGUAGCUGGUCUGAGAGGACGACCAGCCACACUGGGACUGAGACACGGCCCAGACUCCGACGGGAGGCAGCAGUGGGGAAUUUUGGACAAUGGGCGCAAGCCUGAUCCAGCCAUGCCGCGUGCGGGAAGAAGGCCUUCGGGUUGUAAACCGCUUUUGUCAGGGAAGAAAUCCUCUGGGUUAAUACCUCGGGGGGAUGACGGUACCUGAAGAAUAAGCACCGGCUAACUACGUGCCAGCCGCCGCAGUAAUAC
rnacentral:rRNA from 1 species